AGAUUGAACGCUGGCGGCAGGCCUAACACAUGCAAGUCGAGCGGUAGAGAGGUGCUUGCACCUCUUGAGAGCGGCGGACGGGUGAGUAAUGCCUAGGAAUCUGCCUAGUGGUGGGGGAUAACGUUCGGAAACGGACGCUAAUACCGCAUACGUCCUACGGGAGAAAGCGGGGGACCUUCGGGCCUCGCGCCAUUAGAUGAGCCUAGGUCGGAUUAGCUAGUUGGUGAGGUAAUGGCUCACCAAGGCGACGAUCCGUAACUGGUCUGAGAGGAUGAUCAGUCACACUGGAACUGAGACACGGUCCAGACUCCGUACGGGAGCAGCAGUGGGAAUAGUGGACAGUGGGACAAAGCCUGAUCCAGCCAGUCGCCGCGUGUAGUAGAAGGUACGGUCGUUACGGUAUUAGGUAAACGU
rnacentral:rRNA from 1 species